rnacentral:rRNA from 1 species
CAGUCGCCGCGGGAAUACGGAGGGUGCGAGCGUUAAUCGGAAUUACUGGGCGUAAAGCGUACGCAGGCGGUUUGUUAAGUCAGAUGUGAAAUCCCCGAGCUUAACUCGGGAACUGCAUUUGAAACUGGCAGGCUAGAGUCUCGUAGAGGGGGGUAGAAUUCCAGGUGUAGCGGUGAAAUGCGUAGAGAUCUGGAGGAAUACCGGUGGCGAAAGCGGCCCCCUGGACGAAGACUGACGCUCAGGACGAAAGCGUGGGGAGCAAACAGGAUUAGAUACCCCGGUAGUCCCUGUCUCUUAUACA